rnacentral:rRNA from 1 species
GGGGGAGCAAUCCUUCAGGGACCGGCGAACGGGUGCGUAACACGUGAGCGACCUACCGUCGUGCGGGGGAUAGCCGGCCCAACGGCCGGGUAAGACCGCAUACGCUUGUUCUGCUGCAUGGUGGGACAAGGAAAUCCUGGGCAACCAGGAACGCGACGAGGGGCUCGCGGCCUAUCAGCUAGUUGGCGGGGUAAUGGCCCACCAAGGCGAUGACGGGUAGCUGGUCUGAGAGGAUGGCCAGCCACAUUGGGACUGCGAGACGGCCCAGACUCCUACGGGAGGCAGCAGUGGGGAAUCUUGCGCAAUGGGCGAAAGCCUGACGCAGCGACGCCGCGUGCGGGAGGACGCCCUUCGGGGUGUAAACCGCUGUUACCCGGGACGAACCCUAGCUUUUGAGCUAGCUGACGGUACCGGGGAAGAAAGCACCGGCUAACUCUGUGCCAGCAGCCGCGGUAAUACAGAGGGUGCGAGCGUUGUCCGGAAUCACUGGGCGUAAAGGGCGCGUAGGCGGCUUCUCACGCGUGCGGUGAAAGCCCGGGGCUCAACCCCGGGUCGGCCGUGCGGACGGGGAGACUGGAGUCUGGUAGAGGCCGAUGGAAUUCCGGGUGUAGCGGUGGAAUGCGUAGAGAUCCGGAAGAACACCAGUGGCGAAGGCGGUCGGCUGGGCCAGCAUCCGCAAGGAUGGCCAGUUCUCACGAACUGGUACUGACGCUGAGGCGCGACAGCGUGGGGAGCAAACAGGAUUAGAUACCCUGGUAGUCCACGCCGUAAACGAUGGGCACUAGAUCCC